rnacentral:tRNA from 2 species
GCAGGCUUAGCUCAGUGGUAGAGCACAUCCUUCACACGGAUGGGGUCACAAGUUCGAAUCUUGUAGCCUGUA